rnacentral:lncRNA from 11 species
CCAAAUUUUAUAUGUACAAAACUCAGUACAAACUCAUCAUCAGUUUGAUUACAAGGAAAAAUAGGUGGGGGUUCCACAGUCUCAGGCACAAGACCUACAGUUUCAGUGAGGCUAACAGUUUAAAAGCUUUCCAUGUAUUUUUACUUGAUUCCUCAAACAACACACAAAAUUAUGAUGUUAACAGCAACAUCAGGAGAGUCAAGAAAUGUCUGGAAAAGAAGAGGAAGCAAACAAUACCUUUUCUCUUCAGCACUGAAUCCCACUCAGCGAGGAUCCUGGAGCAAUUGAUCCAGCUAAACCACUGAUAAUCCAGCCUUGUGCAGUGUUUACAUCUUACAUGCAAUUAUCAGUUGUAGCACUGGUAUAUUCCAUGUACCCAUACAUUUAAUAAGACAUAUGACAUAUCUUUUAAGCAUACCAUAAAAACAAC